UCUUCCUUUUGUUGGCAGAGGAGGGACAUAGGGAGCUCCUUCCCUCGGCCCCAGGCUAGAGGAAAGGGGGCGGGGCGAGUAGGGGGAGAGCAGGGGUGCCCGCUCACCAGGCUCCAUCCUGCUCAGGGCUGGCGCGGGUGUCCCCAGAUGCAGACGGGACACCGAGCCCCUGAGCCCUGACAGAGCGGGCGAUGCAGGCCGAGGGCUCAGGAGGCGUGCCUCGCAGCCCUGAUGCUCCGGUCAAUAGGGCUACCAGGGCGGCUGUGAUAGAGGAAAAAUGUUAAAGGUCAGAAACCACGUGAGCACUGGGCCUCAACUUUGUUCAGGAUAGAAGAGGCUUAAACAUAUCCUUGGGCAAAGGAGCGAGAAGUUGAAGAUGGAAAAGGGAAAGUGACGGUAGUCGAAGAAGCAAAGCCUCAGAGAAGGCUGGCAGGUGCCUUUGGGGAAUAAGCGGUGCUGGAACGGUUGGAGUACUCAGUUUUUUCGUCCACCUUCAUUUCCCUCAACUCUAAGUAACAGCUUUACAUGCCGGAAUAGGUUACCAUAGCAAUACUUUCUAAGCAAUAGAUGGGCUGAAUUGCACUAUUGAAGAAGCUCAAGAGAAAAUAGGAAUAACAACCUGGGAAAGUCCAGCGUGCUACAGAGCCUCGAGGCUGUUAAAACAAGGGGCUCAAUGGAUUCGCUAGUGAUCGAUCAGAAAGGUGCGACCCCCAGGUCAUAUAAAGUGCAGUGUGGGCAGCUAUGAAUCACCCUCAGAACUCCCACCUCCUCAUCUCCAAGUGACCCAUCCAUGAAGCUCAAAUGACAAAAGACCAAUUAAAUAGGUUGGGGGGAGGAAUCUUUGAAAUUCAUAUCAAAAAAGGGUACUUGACAAAGCUCUCCUACAGGGCUCCUAGGAAGAUGGUGGUCACCCUGACAGAAUAAGUUUUUGAUUUUUCUGAAUCCCCACCUAAAAACAGAGCAGCCAGAGAGCAAAACAAAAAAGCCACAGACAAUAAUUACAACAAAAAGUCGGUUACAGAGUGUCCCGUUGAAUCCCAAAGCACAGGUGAGUGGGACAAAGCAGCAAACAGCCACAGACUUGCUGGUUAUUGGCAAAGUGCGGGAGGAAACAGUGGGAAAUAAUGCAUCAGCUGAUGGAUCUAAGAACAGGAGAAGCCCAAAAAGAACAAACAGGGGGCCAAUUUGAGACCAGCAGCUGAAACUGGAGGUUUUCCCACUCUAUCGUGAGUGAGGGCAAGGUUGGAAGGGCUGGAGGAGUCCAAUUCCUUUGAACCCUUUUUUGGUAGCUCUAAUGAGAUAUAAUAUAUAUUAUUAUACCAUUCAUGUACCAUACAAUUCACCCAC